rnacentral:tRNA from 1 species
GAGGGUAUAGCUCAGUGGUAGAGUGUGUGCUUAGCAUGUACAAAGUCCUGGGUUCAAUCCCCAGGACCGCCA